rnacentral:rRNA from 1 species
GAUGAACGCUAGCGGCAGGCUUAACACAUGCAAGUCGAGGGGUAUAGGGAGCUUGCUUCCUAGAGACCGGCGCACGGGUGCGUAACACGUAUGCAAUCUACCUUUCACAGAGGGAUAGCCCAGAGAAAUUUGGAUUAAUACCUCAUAGUAUAGCAGUUUCGCAUGAAACCACUAUUAAAGUCACAACGGUGAAAGAUGAGCAUGCGUCCCAUUAGCUAGUUGGUAAGGUAACGGCUUACCAAGGCUACGAUGGGUAGGGGUCCUGAGAGGGAGAUCCCCCCACACUGGUACUGAGACACGGACCAGACUCCUACGGGAGGCAGCAGUGAGGAAUAUUGGACAAUGGGCGCAAGCCUGAUCCAGCCAUGCCGCGUGCAGGAUGACGGUCCUAUGGAUUGUAAACUGCUUUUAUACAGGAAGAAACACUCCGACGUGUCGGAGCUUGACGGUACUGUAAGAAUAAGGAUCGGCUAACUCCGUGCCAG